rnacentral:tRNA from 1 species
GGGGCCAUAGUUUAAUAGGAAAAACAUAUUGUUCGCAACAAUAAAACAUGGGUUCGAUUCCCAUUGGCUCCA